rnacentral:rRNA from 1 species
UGGGGAACCUGCCCCAUAGUCUGGGAUACCACUUGGAAACAGGUGCUAAUACCGGAUAAGAAAGCAGAUCGCAUGAUCAGCUUUUAAAAGGCGGCGUAAGCUGUCGCUAUGGGGAUGGCCCCGCGGUGCAUUAGCUAGUUGGUAAGGUAAAGGCUUACCAAGGCGAUGAUGCAUAGCCGAGUUGAGAGACUGAUCGGCCACAUUGGGACUGAGACACGGCCCAAACUCCUACGGGAGGCAGCAGUA